rnacentral:rRNA from 1 species
GCAGUAGCCGCGGUAAUACAGAGGGUGCAAGCGUUAAUCGGAUUUACUGGGCGUAAAGGGCGCGUAGGUGGUUAUUUAAGUGAGAUGUGAAAGCCCCGGGCUUAACCUGGGAACUGCAUCUUAUACUGGGUAACUGGAGUGCAGUAGAGGGUAGUGGAAUUUCCGGUGUAGCGGUGAAAUGCGUAGAUAUCGGAAGGAACACCAGUGGCGAAGGCGGCUACCUGGACUGAGACUGACACUGAGGCGCGAGAGCGUGGGGAGCAAACAGGAUUAGAGACCCCUGUAGUCCCUGUCUCUUAUAA